rnacentral:rRNA from 1 species
UUGAUCCUGGCUCAGAAUCAACGCUGGCGGCGUGCCUAACACAUGCAAGUCGAACGCGAAAAGGGCUUCGGCUCUUAGUAGAGUGGCGAACGGGUGAGUUACACGUGGGUGACCUACCUUCGAAUGGGGGAUAACGUCCCGAAAGGGACUCUAAUACCGCAUAACAUCCUGCUUUUGAACAGGUGGAGAUCAAAGCCGGUGAUCGCAAGACCUGGCGUUUGAAGAGGGGCCCGCGUCUGAUUAGCUAGUUGGUGAGGUAACGGCCCACCAAGGCGACGAUCAGUAUCCGGCCUGAGAGGUCGGACGGACACACUGGGACUGAGACACGGCCCAGACUCCUACGGGAGGCUGCAGUGGGGAAUUGUUCGCAAUGGGCGCAAGCCUGACGACGCAACGCCGUGUGGAGGAUGAAGGUCUUCGGAUUGUAAACUCCUGUUGCCCGGGACGAAUAGCUUCGACCUAACACGUCGAAGUCUGACGGUACCGGGUGAGGAAGCCCUGGCUAACUCUGUGCCAGCAGCCGCGGUAAUAAGGU